AUCCCGGGGGCGUGCGGGCCCCGCCCUCGCUUUGGUUGGGGGGGGGGGGGGGAGGCCGGUGUAGACGCCUCGGGUUGUUUUCACCCCUGUGUCCAACUGCCCGUCUGUGUGGCUCCGCGGUCGGUCGUUAUCUCCCGUCCCCUCCCCAGGCUGACUGCGUGUAGGCCCGAGGGCCCCGCUGACCUUCCGAGUCCCGUUAACAGGCGCCUGCACGCCUUCUGCCCCCUCUUAUCCUGGCCGCGUCGGGACUCCGCUAUCCCGGAGCUGGGCGGAUUUCACCCAGAGCUCCCCUAGCAGGGGAGAAAAGACAUUUAAGUGUACAAAUAACUAUAAUAGUCACAUCAUGUCUCUUUUAAAAAGCUCUCUUUUAGAAAGGCGCCGAGAAUCCACCCAUCCAAUUAAAUAUUUACUGAGUGCCUACUACGUACUAGGCACUCUCCUAGAGGCUGGGGUAAAACAGCAAAACCAAACCCCACCGUCUUGGACGGUCCGUAAUGCUGUGGGGAGAAAGCAAAUAGGUGGGAGAGACACCAGCUUGUCUGCUGAUGGGAAUGAUCCAGUGGAUGAUGGAGUUGGAGUUGGAUAAUCAGAGGUGAAGGCUGGGUCUCAGGAGAGCUUCUUGGUUCCCCCUCAUUCCACUGGUUUGAGUCGCCUGGGCCCGCUCCCAGCUGCAAGCCCCCUCGAACGUUGGAAGGACAGAGGAGGGUGGUUCCCAUUUGUUUGCGCACUCAGCAGCGGAGGGUUUGGAAUAUUCCAGAAACAGAAAGGCACGUGCUCAACUCAUUUGAUACGUGGCGGGAAACCAUUGGUCCCCUAAAAGAGGGGCACGGCGGUGAUGUCACCACCCUGGGCAGAGCACGGGGACUUCUCCUUAACCUGGU